rnacentral:rRNA from 1 species
UACGGAGGGGGCUAGCGUUGUUCGGAAUUACUGGGCGUAAAGCGUACGUAGGCGGCUUUGUAAGUUAGAGGUGAAAGCCCGGGGCUCAACUCCGGAAUUGCCUUUAAGACUGCAUCGCUUGAAUCAUGGAGAGGUGAGUGGAAUUCCGAGUGUAGAGGUGAAAUUCGUAGAUAUCAAGAGGAACACCAGUGGCGAAGGCGAGUCCCUGGACGAUACCUGACACUGAGGCACGAAAAGCUAGGGGAGCAAACAGG